rnacentral:rRNA from 1 species
GUGAAAUUGUUGAAAGGGAAACGCUUGAAGUCAGUCGCGUCUUCUGGAACUCAGCCUUGCUUCUGCUUGGUGCACUUUCCAGUUUGACGGGUCAGCAUCGGUUUUGGUGGGCAGACAAAGGCGCGAGGAAGGUGGCUGCUCCGGUGGUGUUAUAGCCUCGCGUUGUAUGUGUCCGCUGGGACCGAGGAAUCCGGCGCUUGCGCCUGGGAUGCUGGCGUAAUGGCUCUAAGCGACCCGUCUUGAAACACGGACCAAGGAGUGCUACAUGCUCGCGAGUGUUUGGGUGCAAAACCCGAGCGCGGAAUGAAAGUGAAAGUCGAGACCCUUCACGGGGGCACCGACGCCCGAGCCUGAUGUUUUCGGAAGGCCUUGCGGUGGAGCGAGUAUGUUGCGACCCGAAAGAUGGUGAACUAUUCCUGAGGAGGGCGAAGCCAGAGGAAACUCUGGUGGAGGCUCGUAGCGGUUCUGACGUGCAAAUCGAUCGCAGGACUUGGGUAUAGGGGCGAAAGACUAAUCGAACCAUUAAUCAAGUUGGCUUUUUUGCUACUCGGUGGUUAAGAGGCGGCUAAAAGUGACCGUCUAGUGAGCGUUGAGGCUUGCGACACUAUCAAAUUGCGGGGACGUCCUAAAGUUUUCGCGACCAAGCACCUGCGGAAACGUAGGUGUGGCCGAGUUAAUAGCCCUGGGUAUGGUAACACUGCGAAAGAUGCUACAAUGGAUAAUCCGCAGCCAAGCUCUAAGGGCGCCGAAAGG